ACGUCUUGAGCAGCCUCUCGAUGACGGUCCGAUCCACAAGGCUAUCGUCCACGGCCAGGACAUGAAUCUGCGAAGAAGAGGAAGAGGAAGAAGAAGUCGAAGAUCUUGCGCGGUGCUGCUGGCAGCUCCAUUGGACCGCUUCACCCGCCUCCCCAUUUGCUCGCUUCGCUCGAUCGAUCGAUACGAUUGACGAAGUUAUGAACACCACCACCACGAAGAAGAAGAAGGAGACCAAAACUCUCUCGCGCUCGCUCGCUCGCUCGCUCUUCCUCUUCCUCGAGAAAGCGAAAGUGAGGAAACCCCCGCGCCUGUAAGUCGCUAAGCUCGCUAUUCCUUCGUUCCGAGAAGAACUCGCUACCUAGCUAAAAAACCGGGGAGAGAGAGAGAAGAAGAAGAAGAAGAAGAAAUGAUCAAUGGUGACACGGAUCGAACAAAUUCCGGACGAGGAGAUCAGAUCAUCAGAUCCUGCGGGUGAAACAAAGCUAUGCUAAAACCUCGCGACUCGCGGCCCUCUAUUUUCUCAUUUCCCCUCUUUUU